AUGUUGAUAGAUAGUAACAAUAUGGUUAACAGUGUCAGGCAUGAAGGAACGAGAGCAAAAAUCACAACAAGAAAUCAAAAAACCUGGUUACAGAGCAAAAGAACGAGGACAGGAGUCGCUAGCGUUUCGGGUCGGGUUGGCGAAGCCCCGUGUUUGUUUUGCAUACAAGCUCCGUCAAACCUACUUUUAUUUAUUAAAAGCUUCCUCGUUGUUUGA